rnacentral:rRNA from 1 species
GGACUUGCACAAGCGGUGGAGUAUGUGGUUUAAUUCGAUGCAACGCGAAAAAUCUUACCAGAAUUUAUUUGUCUCAAUUUAGAUUGAAGUAAAGGAGUUUUUGUUUAAAAUGAUUUGGUGGUGCAUGGCUGUCGUCAGUUCGUGUUGUGAGAUGUUGGGUUAAGUCCCGCAACGAGCGCAACCCACGUCUUUAGUUGCCAGCAUUUAGUUGGGCACUCUAGAGAGACUGCCGGUGAUAAACCGGAGGAAGGUGUGGAUGACGUCAAGUCAUCAUGCCCCUUACAUCCUGGGCUACACACGUACUACAAUGCUACGGACAAAGGGCAGCAAGUUCGCGAGGACAAGCAAAUCCCAUAAACCGUGGCUCAGUUCAGAUCGUAGGCUGCAACUCGCCUACGUGAAGGCGGAAUCGCUAGUAAUCG